GUCGGAAACAAAAAUUAAAAGUGCGAAAAAUAAAUCGGGUACUAAGAUCUACUAACUAGAUCCUAGCAUCUACUUGCAAUAAAAAUAAAUAAUAAAAAUUUAAAAAGUAUAAAAAUAAAUUGGUACUAAGAUCUACUAAUUAGAUCCUAGCAUCUACGUGCAAAAAAAUAAAAGAUAAAAAUUUAAAGUGCAGAAAAAUAAAUUUUGCAUUAAUUG
rnacentral:lncRNA from 1 species